CGGGAUUCAGAGUUUGAUCCUGGCUCAGAACGAACGCUGGCGGCAAGCUUAACACAUGCAAGUCGAACGGACCGUAUACGCAGCUUAAUGCGUGUAUGGUUAGUGGCAGACGGGUGAGUAAUGCAUAGGAAUCUACCUAGUAGUAUGGGAUAGCCACUAGAAAUGGUGGGUAAUACUGUAUAAUCCCUGCGGGGGAAAGAUUUAUCGCUAUUAGAUGAGCCUAUGUCAGAUUAGCUAGUUGGUGGGGUAAUGGCCUACCAAGGCGGUGAUCUGUAGCUGGUCUGAGAGGAUGAUCAGCCACACUGGAACUGAGACACGGUCCAGACUCCUACGGGAGGCAGCAGUGGGGAAUAUUGGACAAUGGGCGCAAGCCUGAUCCAGCUAUGCCGCGUGAGUGAGGAAGGCCUUAGGGUUGUAAAACUCUUUCAGUAGGGAAGAUAAUGACGGUACCUAC
rnacentral:rRNA from 1 species